GAAUUCAACUCCUACGGGAGGCAGCAGUGGGGAAUAUUGGACAAUGGGGGAAACCCUGAUCCAGCCAUGCCGCGUGUGUGAAGAAGGCCUUUUGGUUGUAAAGCACUUUAAGCAGUGAAGAAGACUCCGUGGUUAAUACCCACGGACGAUGACAUUAGCUGCAGAAUAAGCACCGGCUAACUCUGUGCCAGCAGCCGCGGUAAUACAGAGGGUGCAAGCGUUAGUCGGAAUUACUGGGCGUAAAGGGAGCGUAGGUGGCUCUAUAAGUCAGAUGUGAAAUCCCCGGGCUCAACCUGGGAACUGCAUCUGAAGCUGUAGAGCUAGAGUAUGUGAGAGGAAGGUAGAAUUCCAGGUGUAGCGGUGAAAUGCGUAGAGAUCUGGAGGAAUACCGAUGGCGAAGGUAGCCUUCUGGCAUAAUACUGACACUGAGGCUCGAAAGCGUGGGUAGCAAACAGGAUUAGAAACCCUUGUAGUCCAGGCGUU
rnacentral:rRNA from 1 species